rnacentral:rRNA from 1 species
AUUAAACGCUGGCGGAAUGCUUUACACAUGCAAGUCGAACGGCAGCACGGACUUCGGUCUGGUGGCGAGUGGCGAACGGGUGAGUAAUACAUCGGAACGUGCCCAGUCGUGGGGGAUAACGUAGCGAAAGCUACGCUAAUACCGCAUACGAUCGAAGGAUGAAAGCGGGGGAUCGCAAGACCUCGCGCGAUUGGAGCGGCGGAUGGCAGAUUAGGUAGUUGGUAGGGUAAAGGCCUACCAAGCCGACGAUCUGUAGCUGGUCUGAGAGGAUGAUCAGCCACACUGGGACUGAGACACGGCCCAGACUCCUACGGGAGGCAGCAGUGGGGAAUUUUGGACAAUGGGCGCAAGCCUGAUCCAGCCAUUCCGCGUGCAGGAUGAAGGCCUUCGGGUUGUGAACUGCUUUUGUACAGAACGAAAAGGCUCUGGUUAAUACCCGGGGCUCAUGACGGUACUGUAAGAAUAAGCACCGGCUAACUACGUGCCAGCCGCCGCAGAA